rnacentral:rRNA from 1 species
GAGGGAAAGGCGAAAAGAACCCCGGCGAGGGGAGUGAAAAAGAACCUGAAACCGUGUACGUACAAGCAGUGGGAGCACGCUUAGGCGUGUGACUGCGUACCUUUUGUAUAAUGGGUCAGCGACUUAUAUUCUGUAGCAAGGUUAACCGAAUAGGGGAGCCGAAGGGAAACCGAGUCUUAACUGGGCGUUAAGUUGCAGGGUAUAGACCCGAAACCCGGUGAUCUAGCCAUGGGCAGGUUGAAGGUUGGGUAACACUAACUGGAGGACCGAACCGACUAAUCUUGAAAAAUUAGCGGAUGACUUGUGGCUGGGGGUGAAAGGCCAAUCAAACCGGGAGAUAGCUGGUUCUCCCCGAAAGCUAUUUAGGUAGCGCCUCGUGAAUUCAUCUCCGGGGGUAGAGCACUGUUUCGGCAAGGGGGUCAUCCCGACUUACCAACCCGAUGCAAACUGCGAAUACCGGAGAAUGUUAUCACGGGAGACACACGGCGGGUGCUAACGUCCGUCGUGAAGAGGGAAACAACCCAGACCGCCAGCUAAGGUCCCAAAGUCAUGGUUAAGUGGGAAACGAUGUGGGAAGGCCCAGACAGCCAGGAUGUUGGCUUAGAAGCAGCCAUCAUUUAAAGAAAGCGUAAUAGCUCACUGGUCGAGUCGGCCUGCGCGGAAGAUGUAACGGGGCUAAACCAUGCACCGAAGCUGCGGCAGCGACGCUUAUGCGUUGUUGGGUAGGGGAGC